rnacentral:tRNA from 1 species
AGGGAUGUGGCGUAGCUUGGGUAGCGCAUUUGUUUUGGGUACAAAAAGUCACAGGUUCAAAUCCUGUCAUCCCUA